CUUGUUGUGGGGAUUAUGGCGACGGGUGAGUACACGUGAGUACCUGCCCUUGACUCUGGGAUAAGCCUGGGAAACUGGGUCUAAUACCGGAUACGACCAUCUGGCGCAUGUCAUGGUGGUGGAAAGCUUUUGUGGUUUUGGAUGGACUCGCGGCCUAUCAGCUUGUUGGUGGGGUAAUGGCCUACCAAGGCGACNACGGGUAGCCGGCCUGAGAGGGUGACCGGCCACACUGGGACUGACACACGGCCCAGACUCCUACGGGAGGCAGCAGUGGGGAAUAUUGCACAAUGGGCGCAAGCCUGAUGCANCGACGCCGCGUGAGGGAUGACGGCCUUCGGGUUGUAAACCUCUUUCAGUAAGGAAGAAGCGAAAGUGACGGUACCUGCAGAAGAAGCGCCGGCUAACUACGUGCCAGCAGCCGCGGUAAUACGUANGGCGCAAGCGUUAUCCGGAUUUUUUUGGGGGGUAAG
rnacentral:rRNA from 1 species